AGUGGCGAACGGGUGAGUAAUAUAUCGGAACGUAUCCAAUAAUGGGGGAUAACUAAUCGAAAGGUUGGCUAAUACCGCAUACGCCCUACGGGGGAAAGCUAGGGACCUUCGGGCCUGGCGUUAAUGGAGCGGCCGAUAUCUGAUUAGCUAGUUGGUGGGGUAAAGGCCCACCAAGGCGACGAUCAGUAGCUGGUCCUGAAAGGACGACCAGCCACACUGGAACUGAGACACGGUCCAGACUCCUACGGAAGGCAGCAGUGGGAAUUUUUUGGACGAGGGGCGCAAGCCUGAUCCACCCAUUCCGCGUGAGUGAAGAAGGCCUUCGGGUUGUAAAGCUCUUUCGCAAGGGAAGAAAACUUAUCCUCUAACAUAGGAUGAGGUUGACGGUACCUUGAUAAGAAGCACCGGCUAACUACGUGCCAGCAGCCGCGGUAAUACGUAGGGUGCGAGCGUUAAUCGGAAUUACUGGGCGUAAAGCGUGCGCAGGCGGUUUUGUAAGUCAGAUGUGAAAUCCCCGAGCUCAACUUGGGAACUGCGUUUGAAACUACAAGACUAGAAUAUGUCAGAGGGGGGUAGAAUUCCACGUGUAGCAGUGAAAUGCGUAGAGAUGUGGAGGAAUACCAAUGGCGAAGGCAGCCCCCUGGGAUAAUAUUGACGCUCAUGCACGAAAGC
rnacentral:rRNA from 1 species